rnacentral:rRNA from 1 species
CCUACGGGAGGCAGCAGUUGGGAAUAUUGGACAAUGGGGGAAACCCUGAUCCAGCGACGCCGCGUGAGUGAAGAAGUAUUUCGGUACGUAAAGCUCUAUCAGCAGGAAAGAAAAUGACGGUACCUGACUAAGAAGCCCCGGCUAACUACGUGCCAGCAGCCGCGGUAAUACGUAGGGGGCAAGCGUUAUCCGGAUUUACUGGGUGUAAAGGGAGCGUAGGCGGCAGCGCAAGUCUGGAGUGAAAUGCCGGGGCGCAACCCCGGAACUGCGCUGGAAACUGUGAAGCUGGAGUGCAGGAGAGGUAAGCGGAAUUCCUGGUGUAGCGGUGAAAUGCGUAGAUAUCAGGAGGAACACCGGCGGCGAAGGCGGCUUACUGGACUGUAACUGACGUUGAGGCUCGAAGGCGUGGGGAGCAAACAGGAUUAGAUACCCUUGUAGUC